rnacentral:lncRNA from 1 species
CCUUUUGCUAUGAACUUGAUUGGAUCCAAUGCUCUGAUCCUUCUUCUUUGGCUUCUCCUUCAUAGGGCCUUUGUAAGUUUUAGAGUUAUAGCCUUAUUGUUUGCAAUUGCAAUAUCUCAAUGAGGUACCCUUACUUGUGAUUCUACUAGAAUCCUUUGACUCAUCCUCUUUUUUUCCUUAUGCCUUUAUGGGUUUAUUUGCAAGAGCCCUUAUUAUGAAAGAGAGGGAG